ACUUUCGUUCUUGAUUGAUGAAAACAUCCUUGGCAAAUGCUUUCGCAGUAGUUCGUCUUUCAUAAAUCCAAGAAUUUCACCUCUGACAAUGAAAUACGAAUGCCCCCGACUGUUCCUCUUAAUCAUUACUCCACUCCUACAGGCCAACAGAAUAGGGCAGAGUCCUAUCAUGUUAUUCCAUGCUAAAAUGUUCACGGCGUAAGCCUGCUUUGAACACUCCAAUUUACUCAAAGUAACCAUGCCGAAUCCCUGUCCCGGACAAUGAAGCCCAGAAGCAGGUCCCCGACAGUAAGGAAGGCCACAGCAGUACUCACCAUAGGCGGACCGCUGAAACCCACCCGAAAUCCAACUACGAGCUUUUUAACUGCAACAACUUUAAUAUACGCUAUUGGAGCUGGAA
rnacentral:misc_RNA from 1 species